CCUACGGGUGGCAGCAGUGAGGAAUAUUGGUCAAUGGGCGCGAGCCUGAACCAGCCAAGUCGCGUGAGGGAAGACGGUCCUAUGGAUUGUAAACCUCUUUUGUCGGGGAGCAAAAGACGCCACGCGUGGCGUUCCGAGAGUACCCGAAGAAAAAGCAUCGGCUAACUCCGUGCCAGCAGCCGCGGUAAUAAGGAGGAUGCGAGCGUUAUCCGGAUUUAUUGGGUUUAAAGGGUUGGCAGGCGGAAGAUCAAGUCAGCGGUAAAAUUGAGGGGCUCAACCUCUUCGAGCCGUUGAAACUGGUUGUCUUGAGUGAGUGAGAAGUAUGCGGAAGGCGUGGUGGAGCGGUGAAAUGCAUAGAUAUCACGCAGAACUCCGAUUGCGAAGGCAGCAUACCGGCGCUCAACUGACGCUCAUGCACGAAAGUGUGGGUAUCGAACAGGAUUAGAUACCCCGGUAGUC
rnacentral:rRNA from 1 species